AGAGUUUGAUUAUGGCUCAGAUUGAACGCUGGCGGCGUGCCUAACACAUGCAAGUCGAGCGGUAACGCGGGAGCAAUCCUGGCGACGAGCGGCGAACGGGUGAGUAACGCUUCGGAAUCUACCCAGUAGUGGGGAAUAACUAACCGAAAGGUUAGCUAAUGCCGCAUACGACCUGAGGGUGAAAGCGGGGGAUCGUAAGACCUCGCGCUAUUGGAUGAGCCGAAGUCGGAUUAGCUAGUUGGUAGGGUAACGGCCUACCAAGGCGACAAUCCGUAGCUGGUCUGAGAGGACGACCAGCCACACUGGGACUGAGACACGGCCCAGACUCCUACGGGAGGCAGCAGUGGGGAAUAUUGGACAAUGGGGGCAACCCUGAUCCAGCGACGCCGCGUGUGUGAAGAAGGCCUGCGGGUUGUAAAGCACUUUUAGUGGGGAUGAAAAGCUCAGGGCUAAUACCCUUGAGUCUUGACCUAACCCACAGAAAAAGCACCGGCUAACUCUGUGCCAGCAGCCGCGGUAAUACAGAGGGUGCGAGCGUUAAUCGGAAUUACUGGGCGUAAAGCGUGCGUAGACGGUUUCGUAAGUCGGAUGUGAAAUCCCCGGGCUCAACCUGGGAAUUGCAUUCGAGACUGCGAGGCUAGGGUGCGGAAGAGGGAAGCGGAAUUUCCGGUGUAGCGGUGAAAUGCGUAGAUAUCGGAAGGAACAUCAGUGGCGAAAGCGGCUUCCUGGUCCAGCACCGACGUUCAGGCACGAAAGCGUGGGGAGCAAACAGGAUUAGAUACCCUGU
rnacentral:rRNA from 1 species